AUUGAACGCUGGCGGAAUGCUUUACACACGCAAGUCGAACGGUAGAGGGGGCAACCCCUCGAGAGUGGCGAACGGGUGAGUAAUAUAUCGGAACGUGCCCAUUCGUGGGGGAUAACGUAGCGAAAGUUACGCUAAUACCGCAUACGAUCUAAGGAUGAAAGCGGGGGAUCGCAAGACCUCACGCGAUUGGAGCGGCCGAUAUCAGAUUAGGUAGUUGGUGGGGUAAAGGCUCACCAAGCCAACGAUCUGUAGCUGGUCUGAGAGGACGACCAGCCACACUGGAACUGAGACACGGUCCAGACUCCUACGGGAGGCAGCAGUGGGGAAUUUUGGACAAUGGACGCAAGUCUGAUCCAGCCAUUCCGCGUGCAGGAUGAAGGCCCUCGGGUUGUAAACUGCUUUUGUACGGAACGAAAAGGUCUCUCUUAAUACGGGGGGCUCAUGACGGUACCGUAAGAAUAAGCACCGGCUAACUACGUGCCAGCCGCCGCAGUAA
rnacentral:rRNA from 1 species